rnacentral:rRNA from 1 species
GCACCAGACUCCUACGGGAGGCAGCAGUGGGGAAUAUUGCACAAUGGGGGAAACCCUGAUGCAGCGACGCCGCGUGAGUGAAGAAGUAUUUCGGUAUGUAAAGCUCUAUCAGCAGGGAAGAAAAUGACGGUACCUGAGUAAGAAGCCCCGGCUAACUACGUGCCAGCAGCCGCGGUAAUACGUAGGGGGCAAGCGUUAUCCGGAUUUACUGGGCGUAAAGGGAGCGUAGACGGCAGUGCAAGUCUGGAGUGAAAGGCGGGGGCUCAACCCCCGGACUGCUCUGGAAACUGUACGGCUGGAGUGCAGGAGAGGUAAGUGGAAUUCCUAGUGUAGCGGUGAAAUGCGUAGAUAUUAGGAGGAACACCAGUGGCGAAGGCGGCUUACUGGACUGUAACUGACGUUGAGGCUCGAAAGCGUGGGGAGCAAACAGGAUUAGAUACCCGGGUA